AUGGGGGCCAGCCCCUACUUCAGUGGGAGAUUUUCUUAUUAUGUAAGCUUUAUUGAUGACUAUAGUAAAUUUACUUGGAUUUAUUUGUUAAAGAAACGGUCUGAUGUUUUCCAAGUCUUUCUCAAUUUCCAAAAUCUUGUUGAACGCAAACUGAACUCUAAAAUCAUUGCUAUGCAAAGUGACUGGGGUGGUGAGUAUGAAAAAUUGAACUCUUUCUUCCAAAAACUUGGCAUAUCACAUCAUGUCUCUUGUCCUCAUGCUCACCAACAAAAUGGAUCUGCUGAAAGAAAGCAUCGUCACAUAGUUGAUAUGGGGCUUGCAUUGCUCGCAAAUGCAUCCAUGCCACUUAAAUUUUGGGAUGAAGCAUUCUUAACUGCUACAUAUCUUAUCAAUUUGCUUCCAAGCAAAGUUAUCAAAUUUGAAACUCCUAUUACACGACUCCUUGGUGUCACACCAAACUACACAUCUCUUCGUGUUUUCGGUUGUGCAUGUUGGCCCAAUCUUAGACCCUACAAUACACGCAAACUUGCUUUUCGCUCAAAAAAGUGUGUCUUUUUAGGCUAUAGUCCCAUGCAUAAAGGGGUCAAAUGUCUUGAUGUUCCUAGUGGUAAGGUCUACAUAUCCCGAGAUGUUGUCUUUGAUGAAUCCGUGUUUCCGUUUGCAUCACUUCAUCCCAAUGCCGGUGCACUUCUUCGCAAGGAAAUUCUUCUUCUUCCUCCACAUCUUCGGUCUUUUGAUCAUGGGGGCGACAAUUGUACUAAUCAAAGUGACGAUAUUUCUACUAGUACUUGCUCUUCUCUGUUGCCUAUGCAGGUCUCUGGAGAAAACAGGGCUCAAAUUGAUCAAAAUCCUGAAAAUAUAGCUCAAAUUGAUCCUAUAUUGCAUGCCGAGGAAGAAGACGAACCUGGCACGGACAACGAAGGUGAUCCGGCGGCGCCUGGAACUCCUAUGCGCGGGCAGACCUCGGAUCGCACCUCUGUCAGCUGCGGCAACGAAUCCAGGGAGGGCCACUCCCGCGCCGCCACCUUAGCAACAGGCGGGUCCAGCAGCGGGGCCGGACCCCCCUCGCCCCGUGUGCGCCUGCAACCGCGGUCGGGCAGC
rnacentral:rRNA from 1 species